GAUGAAGAACGUAGUGAAAUGCGAUAAGUAGUGUGAAUUGCAGAAUUCAGUGAAUCAUCGAAUCUCUGAACGCACAUUGCGCCCCAUGGUAUUCCGUGGGGCAUGCCUGUUCGAGCGUCAUUUACCCCCUCAAGCUCCGCUUGGUGUUGGGCGUCUGUCCCGCUUCGCGCGCGGACUCGCCCCAAAGGUAUUGGCAGCGGUCGUGCCAGCUUCUCGCGCAGCACAUUGCGCUUCUCGAGGCACCGGUGGGCCCGCGUCCAUCAAGCUCACCCCCCCAGUUUGACCUCGGAUCAGGUAGGGAUACCCGCUGAACUUAAGCAUAUCAAUAAGCGGAGGA
rnacentral:misc_RNA from 1 species